GCCGGGCGCAGUGGCGCGUGCCUGUAGUCCCAGCUACUUGGGAGGCUGAGGUAGGAGGAUCGCUUGAGUCCAGGAGUUCUGGGCUGCAGUGCGCUAUGCCGAUCGAGUGUCUGCGCUAAGUUCAGCAUCAAUAUGGUGACCUCCCGGGAGCGAGGGACCACCAGGUUGCCUAAGGAGGGGUGAACCAGCCCAGGUGAGAAGAAAAAUAACAUUACCUUCAAUCAAAAUAAAAAAGCAUGUGACAGAUGCCAGGGUGGUGUUACACGUCUGUAAUCCCAGCACUU
rnacentral:sRNA from 1 species